CGAGUUUUUGUACCGUUGCUUGGGAGGAAACACACAAAAUUCAAAUGAAAGCAUUUGCAUUCUGGUGCGAAGACUGUGGAGAUUGCAACUUUCCUGGCAGUGAGCAGCUUCAACGAAGGGUAUUCAGCAAUUCUGAAGACCAGGACAACGGUGGACGUCACCCUGGGACCCUCUUCGACGCUGUUCGCCAAACAUUCGGACGACCACCGGAUUCAAGCGGCCAAAAACCGCUUGCCACCGGCCGUACGAGCGGCUCUGGAGCAGCGCAGGAUGGUCCAGAUCGAGCAGAACGCCCUCUAUGAGGAAGAGGAAGGACUAGUUUAUGGACCCGGAAUAGCAGUAUGGACACGAGCCGGCUGACCUGUGACAUACCGCGCGUGGAGGUCUACAUCGAAAUUUUGUUUGGUUCCGACGGUGCGUCUGCCUUUAAUCUUCGACAUUUCCGGUCGAAAAAAUUCCAGUUUGUAGAGGAAAUAUCAAUAAACCUUUUGAGCAAA